rnacentral:rRNA from 1 species
UACGGGGGGGGCAAGCGUUGUUCGGAAUUACUGGGCGUAAAGGGUGCGUAGGCGGUCCGCUAAGUUAGAUGUGAAAACCCAGGGCUCAACCCUGGGCCUGCAUUCGAUACGGGCAGACUAGAGUUCGGUAGGGGAGACUGGAAUUCCUGGUGUAGCGGUGAAAUGCGCAGAUAUCAGGAGGAACACCGGUGGCGAAGGCGGGUCUCUGGGCCGAAACUGACGCUGAGGAGCGAAAGCGUGGGGAGCAAACAGG